GGGUCAGAACUGGAUUGAUCUGAGAACAGUAAUUAUGAGGCUGACAUGUAUGUUCUCCUUCCUCUUGCUGUUUGGAGCAGUUGGGCUCAUUGUCUUCAUUCACCUGCAAGAUCCAGAAGAAAUAAUUCAUCAGCAGACACCAGACAAUCGCUUAAUUCAGAAGACACACAGUGUGAUGGCUCUCCUUGUUCUUCACCUGAAUUUGUGGCAUUCCUGUCACACCCAGAGCAGCCCAUGAAGGUUGCAUGGUUAGAACUUCAUGAGAGACAAAGACCAAAAAUUGAAGGGUUCACCCAGAACUGUGUGACACAGUGAUGCAAAAAGUGAGAUGCAUAAAGAAGACUCACUCCUACAACCUGUUCCUGAAACCAUCAAGCUUCAGGAUCAGUUCAAGAAAUCUUGGACUUCACAAGACAACAGCAGUGGUUGUGGAAAUUGCAACUGAAUUCGGUGAUAACUCCUCCUGACUUUCAGAAAACAAGUUCAGAGCUUUAGGCAGGGCUGUCAGGAAAGACGUGAGCUACAGCAGCUUCCCUGGGCAGCCUCGCAGUGAGAGCGGAUCCUGAGCACCAGAGAACCACCUUUGCUGCACCGGCACAGUCCUGCCCUGUCACCCUGUGUGCAGAGUGUGCAAGGAAGGAUGCUGAGGAGGGGGAGGAAUAGAGGUAGGUGAUGUGAGAAGAGCAGCUCUCUGAAUGCUGGUCUCAUCAAAGCUCAAAACAAUACCUGCCCAUGGCUAGGUCACAGAUAGGCCCUGUCACCCUGUGUGCAGAGUGUGCAAGGAAGGAUGCUGAGGAGGGGGAGGAAUAGAGGUAGGUGAUGUGAGAAGAGCAGCUCUCUGAAUGCUGGUCUCAUCAAAGCUCAAAACAAUACCUGCCCAUGGCUAGGUCACAGAUAGGUCUGGUUCUGACUUCACUCGUAAGCUGCAAUAGUUUAAUGAUUUGGGAUUCUUUUUUAUACUCCAAAACCAAGUGAUUGUUCACAAAACUCACACCAUGACUUCUGUAUUUUUGUUUCUACUGCAUAAGUAAGACAAAAACAAGCUCUGAAAGCAGUACACUGCAAUAUCAGGUAAUUAUAUCACAAUACACUCCAGCUCUUUCAAAUCAUUCAUUAGUCAGACAUCUGCUGCAGAUUAAUAUUGGGCCAAAUUUGUCUAUUAGGUAUUUCAAUGGACUCCAGUACUUUUUAAGCAAGGGAUGAUCUGUUCCAACACAUGUACUGUCUGUGGGUAAUUUACUGUGGUUUAGAGCUUCUCCCUUGCACUUCUGUAGCUUGAAAUCCUCUUGUAGUGCAGUUGCUAUUUACUAGCUUGUGCUGACGAAUCCACUUUUUCUGACCUAAUUCAAGAAAAUUCAAAAUGCACACAUUGCCAAAGAAAUUAAUUUAUUCAAUGAGCCCAGCAAUGUCUACUCUCACUAAUUCUGUAUUGCUGGAAUAAACAUAGUCAGAAAUUAUGCUUGGCUUUCUAAGCAUCAAUAAAACCUCAUAAAACUCAUAAAUUUCAAUGUAUAAAACCUGAUAUUAAGACAACCCCUAACUUGGAAAAUUCAUAUUACAUUUUAACCAAACAACAAAUGAAGCUAAUAUGUAUUGAUUGCAUUAACAAUUCAUAAAUGCACAGAAAAGAAAUAAACCAUCUUCCUAAUGUUGCCAUGUCUUUGAGGCAUUGCUUAAACUCCGUAGAUGCUGGUCUGCCACUCCAGCAGCUGUUCAGUAAGGCCAGUGUUUGUCCAUCAAUGUCUUUUGUCAUCGGUCUGACUGUCCUGCUCCUUCCCAGGUUGGCAGACAUUUCAAAAAAUGAGCUGUCACCGUGGGAUAAUCAAUUAAUCAAGCGUGAAUUGCUUGACCGGAUCUCCUAAUGAAUGUUAACAUGUAAACACUUGUCAGACACUCGCAGACCAGAGGGUUUGUGUGGUUCUGAUGGUGUCUGGGAAGCUGACUGGCAGCACAGCCCGUGAGCACAGACCUAUCUCAUUGUGUUAAUAAUGCACAUUGCUUACAAGGAUUUCUUUAAAAUAGAUUAGCUGCACCCAUAAUGAUUUUAUUGAUUUUACAAUCUUUUCUCCUUCUGUGGAAAUUGAGAUGAAUCUUUGCAGGAAGAAGUUGGUACCCUACAGGGACUAGGGGAAUAUGCAGGGUAUGAAUGGCUGAUGCAUUUUCACGAGCCAUUGCCUCUCCCCACAAGAGCAGUUUGUAGCCAAUCCCUGUAAUUACAAUAUUGCUUAGCAACACCCCAAAAGUCCUAUUGCUACUUCAAUGAUAAGCCUCAUUCAUAGGGAUUACAUUUGUUAAAUUAAUAUUAAAGCUAUGCAACAGUUCUCUGUGAAGAUGUGCAUUUUAAUUAUUUUGUAUAAAUAUGGUGGCUUAAACCACUGUGGCUGUGAUUAGCAGAAGAGUGGAGGGUAACUAUUUCAGCAGUGUUCAGUGUUCAGUCUUAAGUGUCUGCUACCCAAGAUCCUAUGGCACA